GUUAAAUAUAUUACACACUUAUCCUGAAAGCAAUCAUGGUGCAAGCUACUCUUUGUGUCCAGUUAAUAUUACUUCUUGGGUUCACCAUAGCCGCUUGUAUGGCUGACGAAUACACAUGCGGAGACGUUGAUACCUACGAGGUGGAUCGCGUUGCUAGAGAGGCGGUGAAGGCUUAUCGGCCCAAAUCUCGGAUCGAGAUAAUUUACUAUCCUUCGUGUAGAAUAACCAAAGCUGAAAAAUCAGGUUAUUUUCCAAAUAUAGAUUACAGGCUUACCAUUAAGUGCCAUUAUUUUGUUCCAAGUAACAUUAUAGUUGACGCCGUAUGCUAUGCAUCUGCUGGCCUAGCAGCGUUCAUUGGACCCUUCGUAAAGGAAAUUAAGUGUGAAUUUACCUCCCACUUGAAAUAAUUUUGUAUUCAUAAACGGUCAACCCAGUCGAGUUUAAAUAAAAUUGGAGUACCGCCAACGUCCAUAAUGUGUUACUUAUAAGCCUCGUGUCAUGGUUACUAACAAUACUGUAUAGACGCCAACGA